AAAAAAACCACGCGCUCGUUCUUCAACUUGCUCUGAACUGUCGCUCGUCCUACUCCUCUGUGUUGUGGAGCUGGAUAGUCUCGACGGCGCAAACCGGUGGCAGAGGACUCUGUGCAUGCCCGUGUGUGUGAAUUUAAGUAAUAUUGGAAUGAGGGAUUGUGUGCUGUUUUGGGGAUUCUUCUUUGAGGGUCUCUUGCUUGGUGAGAAUUGUACAAACAGGGAAAGGGGAAUUGGGUAGACAGAGCCAAACUCUCACCCAGAAGCAGCUCCUCAUCACUUUCAUGUGGUACAACAAAAUUUCAGGCCAAAGCUUGACCAUCAACGUUGGGACAAAGACAAUACCCCUUCACCAUUCAAAUUCAACUUCAAUUCACAUGCAUCUGGCUGGGAGAUUUUAGUUCCCACGCAUCUGGCUUCUCUUGCUCCUUGCAGUGCUUGUAGCAAUUGUUGGUGUGGGUGCUUUUCUGUGGUGGGCAAGGCAGGAUAUGUCAGUUAUGAAGCUUUGCAGAAAUGAAUUAACAAAAAUUAACCAAUGCCCUUUGGUUAUGUUGGUCGUCGAUUGAUUGCAAAUAAAACAGAUGGAGGAAAGGGUAAUUCUACACCGUUGUCUAGUUUUUGUAUCAUGGGACGUGCAAUUGCGUAGUCUCUUU